rnacentral:tRNA from 1 species
ACCGCGAUAGCCCAGCUGGUAGCGCAUCUGCCCGGUAUGCGGAAGGUCGCCGGUUCGUUUCCGGCUCGCGGCC